rnacentral:lncRNA from 1 species
AAUGGUGUCUUACGGUUCAUAAGAUGAAGGAAGUUCUACCUUGUGGAUUAUUUUAUGCCAUUAGGACCUAUGUAGUUUCUUUAUCUUUUGGUGAUUCCCGUAACUAAAUCUUUUGUGCACCUUUUAUUGAGCUUUUACUAUCUAAUUCAAAAGAUCCUUGGUUAUAUUGCAAAUAUGUGCAACCUUGGCAUGUUGAGAUGAUUUGUUGUGCUAACUCUAACCCUUAUGUCAUGAGGAGUUUGUAUUUGUUUGCCCUCUCUUCGGUUUUGCAAGGUUUGGAUUCGAGGUCGAAUCCUUUUAAAGAAGGGGAGGAUGAUACAAGAAUAAUGACCGCCUUAGCUUUCGACGACAUCAUUCAAAGCCACUAUGUGAAGAAUCAAGCUUUGGUCACAUGAAGGGCACGGGAUCAUACUUGGAGGGGACGUUUUGAGCCUACCAUUGAUCAAACCUAGGUGUGGAAGAUUGCUUGGAGCCUUGAGGACUUGAGGACUCUCGGGUUUGGACCACCUUUGCUGGUUCAAGGUUUUGGUUCCCUUUAUUAAGGGUAUUUUGGUCACUUAGCCUUAAAGACAUUUUGGAAAAUUCAUAUUUUUUUCCAACACACCAAGGACACCCUUGGUCAUUAAGAGUAGUGUAGUCUUUUUUGCCUUCUUUUGUAAUAUACUAUAAGUAAAACUUUUUAGGUCUUAUCUCAUUAGUCAUGAAUGAUGAAUUUAUGACACAUUGAAAUCCUCUCUCUUGAGAGUAGAACACCUUAGAGUAGUUCUUAGUUAGGGCUUGGAAAAGCUACCUUAGUGUAGGGCUUGGAAAAGCUAGUAUUGAUCUUUGCUUGAAAAUGGUGGAUCUUGAGGUAAGUCGAUUACCUUGGCGGUCACCGUAAGAGUGUUAUUUUGAUUAUUACAUUCAUUAGGGG